GGUUCGUGUCUGUGGGCGUACGGUGGAUGCCUGGGCACCAGAUGCUGAUGAAGGACGUGGGAGGC
rnacentral:rRNA from 2 species